rnacentral:rRNA from 1 species
GAGGAAUAAGCAUCGGCUAACUCCGUGCCAGCAGCCGCGGUAAUACGGGGGAUGCAAGCGUUAUCCGGAAUCAUUGGGCGUAAAGCGCCUGUAGGUUGUUUAAUAAGUCUGUUGUUAAAGACUAGGGCUUAACCCUAGGAAAGCAAUGGAAACUACUAGACUAGAGUAUGAUAGGGGUAGAGGGAAUUUCUAGUGUAGCGGUGAAAUGCGUAGAUAUUAGGAAGAACACCGGUGGCGAAGGCGCUCUACUGGAUCAUUACUGACACUCAGAGGCGAAAGCUAGGGUAGCAAAAGGGAUUAGAUACCCCUGUAGUCCUAGCCGUAAACGAUGGAUACUAGAUGUUGCGUUUUUUGUGCAGUAUCGUAGCUAACGCGUUAAGUAUCCCGCCUGGGGAGUACGCUCGCAAGGGUGAAACUCAAAGGAAUUGACGGGGGCCCGCACAAGCGGUGGAGCAUGUGGUUUAAUUCGAUGCAACGCGAAGAACCUUACCAAGGCUUGACAUACUACAAAUUUCUUUGAAAGAGGAAAGUGCCUUCGGGAAUGUAGAUACAGGUGGUGCAUGGCUGUCGUCAGCUCGUGUCGUGAGAUGUUGGGUUAAGUCCCGCAACGAGCGCAACCCUUGUUUUUAGUUGCCAAUUUUUUGGGUUUUCUAGAAAGACUGCCGGUGACAAACCGGAGGAAGGUGAGGAUGACGUCAAGUCAGCAUGCCCCUUAUGCCUUGGGCUACACACGUGCUACAAUGGUUAAGACAAAGAGUUGCGAGCUUGUGAGAGUUAGCUAAUCUCGUAAACUUAACCUAAGUUCGGAUUGUAGGCUGCAACUCGCCUACAUGAAG